CUGAGAAUGUGUUCCUCAGAUUCAAUCACGUUGGGGCCCGCUAAUAAGAAAAAUGGUUCCGCUGCCUUGAGCUGGUUAAAUAGCAGCGUUGAGGAAUCCAUCUCUCGCAGUUAGCCAAAAGCCAAAGAUUGUGCAGCAGCUUCUUUUCUGGAUCAGAUUGAGCUCCUUUUGGACCCCUACAAGCAACCAAAACGCAACUACUGCUCAAAUCAAUCUCAGGCGUUUUGGUUAGC
rnacentral:misc_RNA from 1 species